rnacentral:misc_RNA from 1 species
UUAUAUUAUAGUUGCAGAGGGGGGGAGAAGAUUCUCUCUCUCUCUCUGUACAAAUACAACUAUUUUCACCCCACAAAAGUGUGCACCGUAUUUGUUUUUUUUUUUACACAAACACAUCGAGUCACUGUAUGUCCAAAUAUAAAAUAAACUUGUAAA